CGAUCCAUACAUUGAAAGACAUGUUGCGUGCUUGCGUUUUCGACUUUGGUGAUAUCUGGUAUGAGUAUCUCUCUUUUUGUGAAUUCGCUUAAUUAUAACAGUUAUCGUUCUAGCAUCGGUAUGGCCCCGUAUGAACCAUUGUAUGGAAGGUCUUGUCGUUCCCCUACUUACUAGAGUGAAGUUGGGAACUAGUGUCACUUAGGACCAGACUUCUUUAAGUAGACGAUUGAGAAGUUGCAAUCAUCCGCAAGAAUUUGGCAACUG
rnacentral:lncRNA from 1 species